GACGAACGCUGGCGGCGUGCUUAACACAUGCAAGUCGAACGGAAAGGCCCUGCUUUUGUGGGGUGCUCAAGUGGCGAACGGGUGAGUAACACGUGAGUAACCUGCCCUUGACUUUGGGAUAACUUCAGGAAACUGGGGCUAAUACCGGAUAGGAGCUCCUGCUGCAUGGUGGGGGUUGGAAAGUUUCGGCGGUUGGGGAUGGACUCGCGGCUUAUCAGCUUGUUGGUGGGGUAGUGGCUCACCAAGGCUUUGACGGGUAGCCGGCCUGAGAGGGUGACCGGCCACAUUGGGACUGAGAUACGGCCCAGACUCCUACGGGAGGCAGCAGUGGGGAAUAUUGCACAAUGGGCGGAAGCCUGAUGCAGCAACGCCGCGUGCGGGAUGACGGCCUUCGGGUUGUAAACCGCUUUCGCCUGUGACGAAGCGUGAGUGACGGUAAUGGGUAAAGAAGCACCGGCUAACUACGUG
rnacentral:rRNA from 1 species